CCGAGGCGUAGAUUGGGAUUAGCUUUAGUCGGGUUAGCUUGGAGUGCGUACGAGGUACAGACGCACAGUUUGGUGAUCCACCAGUCUAGGACACCCUCUUCUGCCGUUUGGAGUGCUCUUCUCAUUUCAGAGCAUAUAUUUUGGUAUAUAUUCGUUCGCUGUGUAUGUAUAUAUUUGUUCAGGGGUACGGCGGGGCCCUGUCCCGUCAUAUGUUUCGGUUGGUCUGUUUAGAGGUCUGUAGACAUAUUUGUGGGUGUGUGUGCCUACUUCUGUUCAGAUGUGGUUGUAUGAUCUUAUUCGCUAUGGCAGCCUUGUCGGCGUGCAUUUUGUA